UAUAAUGUAUAUAGUGUAAAGUACUAUAUAGUAUAAUGUAUAUAUAUACUAUAUAGUAUAAUGGCCAGCACUAGCUACCUGGCCGAAUAUACUAUAUACACUUAUAAAGCAUCUAUUUCAUGUUUCAUUUCCAGGAGAAUAAAUGCUUGAUCUAAAUUUCCCUAAAGCAAAAUAAAUAUCUGACUGAAUCAGGGCUAUUUUUAAAUUUUUACUGUUGUUCAUGCCCUCUGUUUUCAGAUCUUUUGUCUCUGAUGAUGUCUAAACUUGAUGACAUGUGCCAGGUACAGGGUAAUACUAGGAAGCUUGGUGCCUAAAAAUAAUUCGGAGUGAGGGGAAGUGUGUGCUCUCCAGAUGGCGAUCAGCGAGGGAGCUCCGCCAGCCCGCGCUCCGUGUGCGCUACCUGCGCUCCCGGCUCCGCCAAGUGAACCAUUGCAGGGGCUGAGAGCAGCCAGCGGGAUGUAGGGCACCGAGCUGCCCUGCUGAGGCUAUUCCCACCCAGCUGGGGCUCCCACACUCGGAAAUGUCACAGCAGGCUGAGGAGGAACAGAACCCAUCUCUCUGCAAAGCUCUCCUUGAGAACCGGGGGCUGAUGGCAGAGUUUAACGCCUGAAUCUGGCCGAAAGUCAUCGAAAGGGCGGAACAUGGAAAGACAGACCUGCAGCAGAGAUGUGUGAUCCCAAUGAGCUCUCCUCAAAUGAUACUUUAAUCGUCUGCAGCACUCUCAAAAAUACUGCUACCACUAAUUUGCCCUUGAAAGAAUGUGGCAAAUUAUAUCAAGGGCUUGUCCUCGUGGCCCUGUGCUUGGACACUGGGAGAUACCCAAAGCUAACCUGCAGUUUGUAACACUGCAGUGAAUCCUGCUGCGCUCUGCUCCCCUGCAAGAGUCACAGCCUGUGCUGAUGGGGCUGUGUUGAUUUUCUGCCUCGAGCAUUUAAGAGACAAAAAAAGCAUAAUCUCCAAGACCUCCAGCUAUACCUAGUAAAAAAAUGAAGUAUGUGCUUAAUAUUAAAUCUGUGAAUCUCACUAAAUUUGCAUGUGUUAAAUGGUGACUUUUUUAUAGGACCAUAGAGCACCUUUAGAAACUGAAAGCUCUCAGCAUAAACACCCAUUAAAAAAAUAGGACUAAUAUGUCCGUAUUUGUUAGAACAGGAAAUGAAGAAAAGUGUUAAUUGGACUGUUUGAAAUUGUUGUUUAACACUACAAGCUUCCAGGACAUACAAACAGGCUACGCUUGAAUCACGUGCACUGUUCCAAGUUGAAAAUACAUACAAAUAUCUGAGAGAUGUAUAUGUAAAUCAGGAUAAUAUUUUACUUUUGGAAUUUUGGGUAGAGGCUGAUUUUGGCUGGUAAUAAGGAGUUCACCACCUGCUUUUCACUUAUAUAACACUGUUUUUCCUCUCAUCAGAUUCUUCUAAUGAGCAGGGAGGAAUGGGUUAUUAAAUUAGCCAAUCAGUGUUUUGAAUAGGUACCUGCCAAAAAAGGGAUUUACACACGAGAAGGUAAGAAAGUUGUAGAGCUAUGGCAGACAGAAGAGGCCACAAAGUGUUGAAUCUUUUGUGCAUUAAGCCAAAUUUAUUUCCUAGACAUCAAAAGAUACUUUCUGACUUUUCUGUGCAAUGUCUGUAAUCUCUUUUAUUUGUACAUUCAUGAAAUGCUGGAGCCCUCUUUGGCUGCUGAUUCCUGCAACUCCCGGGCCACAGGGUCUGGCACAGCCCCACACAGGUUGGGAAUGCCCCAGAGCCAGAAAAUUCAGCCCCAUUUGACAUUUUUAACCAAAGUUUCACAACCUAUCUCCUCUUGCAGGUGACUGAGGAGGAAGGGAGCAAAGCAGGAUCAGAGCCAAUGUGGUGUCUCCUAAUAUCUGUCUAUAAAGGAGAAUUUAAAUGACAUUUCAAAUGAAGAAGAAAAAGAUCCCCCUUGUCUAGUUUGUGCUGAAUACUUUUCCCCAUGGUAUUCCUCAUGUUUAAUUUUUAGUCAUUUGCACUCUGAUAGAGAUCAAAGAUUUCUGUCAAAAUACAGUUUGCACUGAAGUAGGUAUUUUGCAAACAUACAGGGAGAUAUUUUUCUCCCCUGGUGUAUCAAAAUUUAAAACUAGUCUGAAAUGACUUGCAAAAGGAGUGAUUCCAACAGACUUCUAUCUCUUGAUUGCUUGCAUUUUUAAAAGAAUUAUACUGAAGUAGUCUAUUUUCAUUUUCUGUCUCUAUAAAAUGCACCUUAUAACCCUUGACUUGCAGAGACAUUUAGCAGCAACAAACAAACAUAGGAAUGAUAAUUCGAAAACUGUUACAAAAAUAAUCAGUGAGCAGGUUCAAAAGAUUUGAGAUGACAUUACAUGAAAAGGUGCUAUUUUCCUGCUAGAAGGCAUUUUAUGUCAGAGAAAUGUUCAGUAGUCUUUUAUGAUUUUGUCUGAAUAAAGUGAGAAAGUAAGUUCAAGAUUUUUUAGGAAACCAGGCAAAAACUCCAAAACAAAUACAUGUCAAAAUGAAGGGAUUGCUUAAAGCACUCAGGGCUGGAGUCCCCGUGUAUAUCUCUCUAUCAUUUUAUCUGCAUGAAGGGAAGAUCUCUUGCAGGUUGACAAGGAGGAAUUGUAACCUCAGGAGAAGGGAAGCACUCUUCCCCCAACCAAAGAGAAAUAUAAUUUGAUAUAUUAACACUUCAAAUCUCCCUGUUUUCUAAACAGCUUCAGGUGCUUCCUGUGAGUGUUUUUAAUAAGGAAAAAAUAAAUCCAACAGGUAAAUUUUAAGACCAAAUCAACUUUGGUUUUCCAAGCUGAAACGAGGACACAUUUCUGUCAGGGCAGCCAUCUGUAACACCAAUAAAAUAUUUCAGAGA